ACUUGUACUGUGAAACUGCGAAUGGCUCAUUAAAUCAGUUAUCGUUUAUUUGAUAGUACCUUACUACAUGGAUACCUGUGGUAAUUCUAGAGCUAAUACAUGCUAAAAACCCCGACUUCAGGAAGGGGUGUAUUUAUUAGAUAAAAAACCAACGCCCUUCGGGGCUCCUUGGUGAAUCAUAAUAACUUAACGAAUCGCAUGGCCUUGCGCCGGCGAUGGUUCAUUCAAAUUUCUGCCCUAUCAACUUUCGAUGGUAGGAUAGUGGCCUACCAUGGUGGCAACGGGUAACGGGGAAUUAGGGUUCGAUUCCGGAGAGGGAGCCUGAGAAACGGCUACCACAUCCAAGGAAGGCAGCAGGCGCGCAAAUUACCCAAUCCCGAUACGGGGAGGUAGUGACAAUAAAUACUGAUACGGGGCUCUUUUGGGUCUCGUAAUUGGAAUGAGAACAAUUUAAAUCCCUUAACGAGGAACAAUUGGAGGGCAAGUCUGGUGCCAGCAGCCGCGGUAAUUCCAGCUCCAAUAGCGUAUAUUAAAGUUGUUGCAGUUAAAAAGCUCGUAGUUGAACCUUGGGCCUGGCUGGCCGGUCCGCCUCACCGCGAGUACUGGUCCGGCUGGGCCUUUCCUUCUGGGGAACCUCAUGGCCUUCACUGGCUGUGGGGGGAACCAGGACUUUUACUGUGAAAAAAUUAGAGUGUUCAAAGCAGGCCUUUGCUCGAAUACAUUAGCAUGGAAUAAUAGAAUAGGACGUGUGGUUCUAUUUUGUUGGUUUCUAGGACCGCCGUAAUGAUUAAUAGGGAUAGUCGGGGGCGUCAGUAUUCAGCUGUCAGAGGUGAAAUUCUUGGAUUUGCUGAAGACUAACUACUGCGAAAGCAUUCGCCAAGGAUGUUUUCAUUAAUCAGGGAACGAAAGUUAGGGGAUCGAAGACGAUCAGAUACCGUCGUAGUCUUAACCAUAAACUAUGCCGACUAGGGAUCGGACGGGAUUCUAUAAUGACCCGUUCGGCACCUUACGAGAAAUCAAAG
rnacentral:rRNA from 1 species